AAAUAUGAGUGGGAGGAGGCGGACGCAAGCGUUCAUUAAAUAGAAACUCAUUUUUUCCUUUUCAUACGUUGUUAUGCUAGGUAUACCAUCAAACAUUGCUGUUUGUAUUGGUACAAUAAGACAUACGUAACGCGCAGUAUAAAUGUUGAUUGUUUCUAAUAAAAUAUUUACGACUCACUGUUUUACAUAAUAAUAUACAGUGUGCCGGAGGAGGGUACCUUCAAAUUAAAGGUCAUCUAACUCACUUCCAGCUAUUUUAUUAAGAUAUCAAUAUUAAUCAUGACCUUAAAAUCUAUAUCCGAAUAUUUUGCUUCCUAUUUCUUUUACAAGCAGUUUUCCAUGGCUGACCGCCAUUGAUGAACUGGUUCAAGGUAUCCAGGUUUAUUUUUAUUUUGGUGGUACCACCCAAUCGCACCAAUCGCACCUAUAAAACUCCAUCAUCAAUUUGCUUUUCUUCAGUUCAACAAAAUCGACUGCAGGCAAAGUUUUAAAGAUGAAGUUUCUCCAAAUUAUUGUUUUCGUGGUUACGAUCGUUACUUUGAGCAUGACUACGCCGCUACCUAGAGAAAAACGUGGUCUGCAUCUACAUCUGGGCCACCAUCACACGCCAGUAGUACACCAUCAUCAUCAUUCCUUUGUGGAACCUGUACAUCACGUGCAUCACUCAUAUUCAGCCUACCACGUGCCAAUACACCCAGUUGAAGUUCAUCAUCAUCAUCAUCACAAUCUUUUCUGAAUUUUUAAAUUGUUAUAAUGACAGACUGAACAUAAACGUUGUGAUAUAUUUAAUUGUAUUUACAAGCAGGAUUAAACAGUUUCAUGAAUAAAUAAUUGUUACUGGUAAAACAAAA